rnacentral:rRNA from 1 species
UAUACGACUCUCGGCAACGGAUAUCUCGGCUCUCGCA